UAGGGAAUCUUGCACAAUGGGCGAAAGCCUGAUGCAGCAACGCCGCGUGAAGGAUGAAGGCCUUCGGGUUGUAAACUUCUGUUCUAAGGGAAGAAACAAAUGACGGUACCUUAGGAGCAAGCCCCGGCUAACUACGUGCCAGCAGCCGCGGUAAUACGUAGGGGGCAAGCGUUAUCCGGAAUUAUUGGGCGUAAAGAGUGCGUAGGUGGUUACCUAAGCGCAAGGUUUAAUUUAGAGGCUCAACCUCUACUUGCCUUGCGAACUGGGCUACUUGAGUGCAGGAGGGGAAAGCGGAAUUCCUAGUGUAGCGGUGAAAUGCGUAGAUAUUAGGAGGAACACCAGCGGCGAAGGCGGCUUUCUGGACUGUAACUGACACUGAGGCACGAAAGCGUGGGUAGCAAACAGGAUUAGAUACCCUGGUAGUCCACGCCGUAAACGAUGAGCACUAGGUGUUUGGCCCGUUAGGGCUCAGUGCCGCAGUUAACGCAAUAAGUGCUCCGCCUGGGGAGUACGCUCGCAAGAGU
rnacentral:rRNA from 1 species